CACCCAAGGACAAAUACCUCAACCCUUCCCAGAGGGGUGAGUCACAGCCAAACUAAAGACCAGCUUCCCUCCCUGGCCUCUUCCCGAAACCCCGCAACUAAUGAAGGUUCUGGCAGCAGAGUGAACUGCCAGAUAGGACUCGGGCUGAUUAAUGGUGGGCCUGGCACAGGAUACAGGUUAUACUGAAAGCGACCACAAGCUCACUGAAGGAGGAGGAGGGACGGCUUCUGUCUCUAAUCCUGGUGUGAAGGGCUACAGAUGCUCUGGGGAAAAUGCUGGGGACUAGCAGACAGCUAGGAGCUCUGGAAACAGAGGCUGGAGGGCCCAUAUUGCUCACCCCAUGUGGUUAUGCUUUCGUCACAGAAGACGUCCCAAACAGAAGAAAGGAUGCUUUCACCUGGAUAGAGCUGAGGCCACAUCAGAGGAGAACAGCAGAGUCUCUUAGACUGGAGCCAGGGUCACCCCAGCUGAACCACCUCCUCUAUCUGUUCUCUGUGUGGACGGAUGAAUGGAUGGAUUAAACAGCUCGCCUUGAGACACAGUGAUGACAAGCCACCAAGCAUCCUUCCUCAGGUCAUCCAGGUACCCUCUGCUGCAGGGCUUGUCUUGGAACUCACCUCAGU